GGCGAGGUGGAAGGCGGGGAGGAUCGCGGCUGCGGGUUAGGCUUUGAAAGUCAGCCUCGCAGGCAUUGCAGCAGAGCCCCGAACCGCGGAGGGGAGCGGCGUAGAGCUCGGCUCGCUGUGUACGUGUGCGGGGCGAGGGGACGGGGGCGCGGGGAGGCUCGGCGCGUCUUCCAGUCGGGGACGGGGCCCGAGCUCGGAGCCGCCGCGCCCCGCGCUGCCGGAGCCCCGCUCGCCGCUGUGAGGCGAGGCCGGCGGAUGAAGCAUGGAAUUGCUGAAAGAGAAAGUUAGUGCAUCCUUGGACUCCUGAAGGAAGAGCCUUCCUUAUGGGACCACUUUCAAGGUAAAUAAUUUGCUUCAAUUAUUUCCUUUUUCCUUUGGUUUGAGUUUCUUCUUUGUCUUGCCAAUCUAUCAUGCAACUUUCUACCUUGUGUAGGUCUUCUAGGAUUGCGGUUAUAAGAUGGUAGAUUUUCAAGUUAAUCCUUCUAUUUUAAUGACAGAUUUGAUUUAAAAAAAAGAAGUGUGUGUGCCAAUUAAAGAGAAAUAAUCAUUUUUAGUAGCUUUUUAACUUUUUAUAUGGGAUUUGCUGGCAAGUCCUGAAGAUUUAGCCUACUUGUUUAGGAGAUAGUUGCUGAAUAGAGAAGAACCUGCUUUACGUGUAGUUUCAGAGUGAAAGAGAAGAUUAGAUAAAACUUGCAGUUAGUGUUUUAUUUUUUUAAAUAAAACAGAUCCACACUGAGCUUUGGUAGCAAGGGGCUGUCACAGUAAAAUUAUUAGAUAUUGCAUUACAAUGGCUUAUAGACACUGCUGUCAUCUUGUUUGGAUGUACUCCCUUGAUUCCUAUUUUCUAAAUCCUAUUUUCCUUUGAUACUAGAGAGUAAUUCCCCAAGUGUUGUCCAGUGAUUGCUUAUGUAUAUGCACUUUGGUCUGUGAGUAAUUUUAUUCACUUGAGUAGCCCCACUGUCCUUGGUGGGCCUACAAGCAUGCCUAAGAACUUGAGAAUGCUGAUGAGCAUAAAGAAUACAAUUUGGGCAUGUAAUGGUUGACAAGCAAUUGUUUUGUUUCUGGCCUCUCUUAGGACUCAUUUGCAUUUCCUCCAGUGACAACUUUUGGGAACAUUAGAAAGGGAAGGUCUAGAAUGCUGGAGGCAGUUGUAUCAAAUUCCAGCCUGAAAAAUUUCUAGCGUAUCCACUGUAAUUACACAGAUGGCAGAUAGAAGGGUGUAUUUUCCUUUUAAUAAAUCUAUGUGUUUCUUUACUUCCUUUUCAACGUAGCAUUGUCAGUGUACUGUAAUUUGAGUGUCUGUAACACAGUGAAAUAUAGUAGAAUCCUCAGAAAACGUUUGUAUUUCAUACUGGGAAGCUUUGAAUGUAUGCAAAAAUCACUGUUUUGGUAGUAAAGGGAAAUCAAGAUGGGGGAUCCCUCUUCCCCCCCUCCCCCCCCCCUUUUUUUUUUCAGGCUUCCUAUUUGAUUCCUCAAAAAAAUCCAACAAUGUUACAGUGCUUCUCAGCUGUCUUGAGGAAUUGCAUUUCUGUGAAAGUCAAUUGCAUUUCUUGCUGAUCUGAGAAUCAGUAAGAUAGGCACUUUAGAAUUAGAGCAAAAUUAAUAGCAAUUUACGACUUAACUGUUGUUGUGGUCAGCAGUUGAUGAUGGCUUAAGCAGCCCUGCUAGAAUUUCCUAGAGAGUGGCUUUUGUGUCAGCAAGGCUUUUGAAGUGUUCCACGUCUUCAAAAAUAGUUUUGAGUACUUGAAAGCUUUAUUUUAAAUUGUUACCUGUGUUUAAAUCUGGUUCCAUUCAGAGUUGCAAAAGUGCAUGCUGUAAGUAAUGGUCUUACACUUGUGUGUCAGCUUGUCAGUAAGGUGGUUAAGCUAAAGAUUUGAGGAAAAAAUGUGUUUCAGUGUGCAUGUGUCUGGUAACCUUUGCGGAGUUUGCAUUCAUUUUUCCAUUUCUAACCAGCAGUAUAAAACAGUUAUCGUUAUAUUAUGUGCUGUGAGUUUCUGGGGAGGGGAGUGAGUGGGUGUGGGGUGUCCAUGGGUUCACUUAAUAUUUAUAAAUAUUGCUCAUGGAAUACCUGUCUUGAUACACAGCUCUGCAUUAUGUGCCGUCGUAAACAGUUUUAAAGUGGAGGGCUGUAAUUAUCUGGAUUGAAUCUUUGUUUAUAUUGCUGGAAUUGGAUUUCUUAAGUCAGAACUUCCUGAGGUUUUGUAGAAGUCAGUAUUGUGGGUCACUUGGAUUCCUCCAGGAAAGGUACUGCUUUGCAAAUGUAACGGUUAGUCUGCUUGGUGCUAUGGAAUUUUUAGAAGUGAGAGCUGCAGGAUGGGAAGGUAGUUGCAUUGUCUGAAGCUGAGUCUGCAUUGAAGAAAGAGCUAUAGUGUUGAGCUAAAAUCUAUGAGCUAUGUUCUUAUUUUAAGUUUAUGUAGAUAUAUAUAUAUAUUUUUUUUUUGCGUGAGAGGUCAAGAGAUGCAACUCAUGAAAUGAUGGAGAUGAGAAUUAAAAACCAGAGUAAUUAAAAUUAUGCUGUCAAAAGAACAAGGUGGUGACUCAGUGUUAGGAAAGCUGGCAGAAGCAGCCUUUAAUUGAAGAAGAAUUGGUUGCUGUAAACCAAUUACAUGCUACUUUUAAUGAUAGGUUUCAGAGAACAGCAAAUGAGUGUAGUGUGAUCUUGACUGAUAGUAUUUUCUUGUCUUAAAAUAAAAAAAGCCCGAGGAUAUGAAGUUACAAAGAAAAGUUUCACUUUGAAUAGGAGAAGGUAGAGUAUGGAAGAGAAAGAAUGUCUGCCUUUGCUGUGAAGCAUUUGGGCCCAUUUUAUCUUUGGAAAUUAACUUAGGUGUUGUUUCCGUUUUUGUCAGGCUAGUAGAUUUGGUAAAGGAACUGGUAACUUGAAAGGUGGAGAUGUUCCUCACUCUCUCUGCAGCUUGGCAAUUCUGUAUUUUACAGCAAACUUUUUAGUUUAACAUAUCUGAACUUGUACUAGAUAGGGUUAAUAGGCUAGAACAAAAGGUCAGAGCAUAAGGCAUUAGGCUUAAUUAAGGGAGAGCAGGAGUGGCAGGAGUAUGUGACAGUUAAAUGGGUUUCCCACAGACUAAUGUCUGUUACAGUGCAACCAUGCCUCAACUUAAGUGGGUUAUUUUGUGCGAAGGGCAGCAGUGAUUAGCAGUUUGACAUGCCAGACAUUUCUGGCCAAUCCCAUCUGUUUUAGAGGUUAAAAAAGCACACCUUUAUGAGCUGAUAGAUUGAUUUGUGUGCCUGUCUGGUAAAGAUUAGAAGUCCAAGGCCAGUGCUGUAAAUGCCAGUUAUAGAAUAUUGUACUUUCUUAGUUGUUCUUUGUUUAAACUGUCAACUAUUUAGUAAUGGGGAUAACAGCCAUAAAAGUGACCGUACAAUAUGAAAAAUGUGGCAGGGAUUCUGAAGCAAGCAUUUUGAACCAGAAAGGGCUGAGUGGAAUGCUUCCUCUUCGGGUCUGUUACCAAUUUUGGCCCGUAAGCCUUGGUCAUUUUGUAACGGAGCUUGGAAGGGGAAUCCGUCUUUUUGUGUUUCUACAUAAGGUUCACAGCUUUUCUUUAAAGUGAUGGUUAUAAUGUAUUUUUGCAGAAGUUGCCUGCCUUAGUACCAGCAGUUUUUCAGUUUCUAGCGCAGUUGGAGAAAAGUGAAUUCAGUGCUUUAGAGGAUUCAGUAUUUAUACCUCACUUAGUUACAUCCUGUUUCCUUCCCAUUCUGUUACUGAACUGUGAUGGUAUAGGCCUAUUUUUUUUUCUGUUGCUGUUGGUUUUUUCUUUUCUUUUUGCUCCUUUGUUGCUGUCUUUCUCUGGGUAGGGUGGUUGGUUUUUUGUUUGUUUUCCUGAUUGGACUGUGAGGUUGCCUUAUGCUUUAAAUAAAAUAGAUGGCACAGUAAGUCUUGACUGUUUCUUGUCAUCUUUAUGACUUUGUAAAGUCAAAGUUACAUUACUAUUAAUGUGAGACUGUUAAUAAAUCGUUGAUGCAAUAAAACUGUUUUUGAUAACGUUCAAGGUUCAUGCAUAGUUGAAGGUGAUUAUCCUAUUUUAAAAUCAAGUAGAGGUUAGACAGUGUUGGAAGAUACUGUCUGUGGCCCCAAAUGAUAGCAUCGUUUCCAGUGGAGAGUCUUUCUCACUUGAAGUAAAUAUGUGAUUUUUGAAUUCAGUUGUUAACUGUAAGUGUAUUUUAUGGUAGCAUGCUAAUUAAAUGUUGAUUCUUUGAAAAGCAGUGAUAUAUAUGUACUUAUUUUUGAGAACUAAAGCUCUCAUUUUAAAGACCUGUUGUUUAAGCUUUCCCCUCUGUUCUCCAUUCAGGCAGUGGCACUUGUACCCAAACUACUGAGAAAUAAAACUGCAUGAAAAUAAAGCUUGGCAUCUUGCAUUUAUGUUCCUACAUUAACUAAAAAUUAGCCGCUCGUCUAAAACUUUUUUCUGACUUUCGAACACCAUUUGCUUUCUCUUAGGCAGCUUAGUAUCUUCUGCUUUUUUUUUUUUUUAAAUGAUUGGAUACUCAUUCUAAAGACUUCCACAUACCUGUACUGUACUCUUGCUGUACCCACCUUUUGGUCUGUUUGUGAAAAGAUCUGACUUGUGACUUAUGAAAAACUUGUCUUCACUUUACCUAGCUUUGUAAGAGCUGCCUUAAUUUUUCUUUCUGUUCUUGUGAAAGUCUCUUGUUUGAAAAGCCCAGCAGUAAGGAGUAUUUUCAGUGUCCUUUAGGAUGAGGAAGGCAUUGUCAUUACCUUGCAGUUUAUUUAGCAACGUGGAGCUGGAAUGGGCAUACACAGCUUCAUGUUCUCUAUGGAAUAAUAUCUAUUUAAAUGAUUUGGAUCUAAUACAUAUUUACAUGGAAAAACAUCUUGCCCUUCUCUGUGGAGAGAGAAGGUGAACAAGCAUAAAUUUUAUAAUACUCAUUGCUUCCCUUGCACUAAAUCAUACUUAAAUUGCAGAAGGCUGUUGGCUUUAGAGUGGUGUAAAAAGUGCUUGGCUAGUAAAGUGAGCGUUCAGGGAGAUUUACCUAAUUUAAUACUAAGGAAAUGUCAGCUGUUGUGCAUUGAUAUGCGAUUGCCUAAAUCCAGAAGCCAUGCUUCAGAUUUCCAUAUAUGCAUACUUGUAAUGUUUUCCUGUUCAUAACACAAAAUAGAAACCUGAAAUGACCCAUUAGUGCAGCGUGCAUGCAUGCUAUAUUUCGGCUAAUUGCAGUGUUAUUGAUAAUACCUGAGCCAUUGUGUAGUAUCUCGGGAAUGAGGGUAGAUGCUGUGGCUGCUGUUCUGCUCUUUCAGGGGCAGAAUGUACUUUAUCAAGUUUCUUGUAAUGAUCAUUAUUAAAAUCUUUGUAAUUGCUGCCUUUGUAUAAUUAGCAAUUCCUGCUCUAAUCAUAGCGCACGCUCUGUAAGAAAGGUUGUCAGAUAACAUGAUGGAGGUUGUAUUUGGGACUGCAACACGGGAUACUUUCUUUCCGUAUCUUAAGGAUAGUCUAGUUUUGUUGAUGAGAGUGGAAGUUCAAGCAGUAGUUUUUAUUGAGCUUAGGCUUCUCUUCGAGUCUGCUCAGUUCAUGAAGUACAGUAACAUGAAAUCAUCGUGGUGGCUUCUCAUCUUUGAUACAUUUAUGCAAAACCACUGGUGUUUAUUGAUUACAACAGCACACUUUACCAAAUAUUCAGUAAUUGUCAGUGAGCCCGUUGCAUCUUUUUAAACGUCAACUCUUGUAUUUUAACUGAAAGGCACAAUAUUAUAAUAUAUUUGCAUGGAAUAUACAUACUGCAUAAAAACAAUUUAAGCUAUCCAUUGUCUUCAGCUUCGAAUUGUCUUUAAAACAAGCAAACAAAACUGUUUUCACUCAUGAGUGUUUCAGAUAACUCUUCACAGCCCUCUCCCCUGUUUUUUUUUUUUUUUUUCCACUCUUGCCAUAUAAUUGAUGAAAAGGCAGGUACUUGGUUAGUAUCCCUGACUGGGAUAGACAAUGGACUGGGUAGAUGCUGCACCACAUUUGUGUGAACUGGCCUACUGUGGAUUUAUCCUUAUUUUAUAUUUUCAUACUCUGUGACCUUGUAGUUGUUGACUUUGGUCUGGAAAAAUUUCAAAGUCAUGUAAAUGAAUGUAAUUAAGGUAUUGCUUAUCAUCUUGGAGAGUUCACAGAGAGGCUUAUUGGCUAGAAAGGUUUGUUUACUUAAUAUGGAAGGUUAAUAUAAGGUUAAAUUUUACUCUGUAAAAUGGCUUCAUAAUGUUUUUAUUUAGCAGCUGAAGAAAAUAGUGCUUGAAAAGGCAAAUAAUAGUUUUAUCUGACCUCCAUAUGUCUUCUGUAGCUUGCAUUAUUGGGAAAAUUUAUCUUCAUUGCUUAGUAUUAUUGCAGUCUUCCUUUCUCUCCCUUCUAUGAAGGGAAUGUCUCAAGCUUAUUUGUCAGCCUGUAUGUAGGAAAGGAACUACAUUAUGGGAAGAACUACAGAAAUAUUUGACAAUAAUUGCUGUAAGUAGUCUAUCUGUUUCCACUUAAGUCUCCUAUUUCCCAUCCCCCUUCUUACAAGAAUGGGAUUUAUGCUUUGUCCUUUAGUAACUUCUCUUGUUUUAUUCUUGCUGCUGCCAAAAUAAAGGUGAAAAGCAGUAUAAAACGAGGAGAAGAACAUCAAAUUAGUGGUUUCUGCCUUCUGCUCCAUAGAGAAUGGUGCUUAGGUCUAUAUUCUUGUCUGUACUUCUCAGCUUCAUUUGAAUAGACUUGCUUUGCUUAUCAUUUACAAAAAUAGUGUUUGCCUGAGUGUUGCUUUUUUUCCAUUCAAUUUAAAGUAAGUACUUCUGUGGAGUUAACAGAAAGGUUAUAUGGCAAGUGUCAUGUAGAAAGCUCCUUUCUGAUGCCUUUUUCAUCUCCUGCUUGGGGCCUUUUUUUCUAGCUGGAAAAGCUUACGUACUUGAGGUAGGUGAUGGCAGAACACGCUUGGGCGCCACAGACCUCUACUGCACUGAGUUCAGGAAGAAAGGAUGAAGCUAUGUGAAAUUUGGAAACACCUCUUUCAGCACAACUCCUUCUGGAAUCAUUUAGACAGCGAGAGCUGCUGGCUUGUCUGCUUUUUUUUUUUUUGUAGAGUACUUACUUCUGUCAUUUCUUCCACUUGUAGCAAAAGUAGUACCUAGGCUACUUGCUGUUGAGGCUCCUAACUUUUUUCUUCUUACUAGAAUUCCGUGUACUAGAUUAUGCAACGAUGAGAGUAAUGUCCUUUAAAGGCUGAUUAAUGCAAUGUAUGUCUUAACUGACUAUUUUUCUAGCUUGUGGGGAUACCCUGUAACUCAUACCCAGGAGUUCUAGUCCUUGCCUCCGAAACAUGCAGCAGGAUAAUAGCUUGAAUUUAUGUAUUCAUCUUUAUUUUUUCAUUUCAUAUUAACAGUCAUAAACUAAAGUGAUCUUAAGUUGCUUUCAGAAGACAAAUAUGCGAAGAUUUCUUUUGUAUAUGGGAGAAGUAUAAGAAGCUAAAAUUCAAGUUUGGAUCUUGAAUAAUGAUCUAACUGAAGUGUGUGGGGAAGAGGAGAACGAACAAGUUCAAGUGAAAUGCUGGACCUUUUUAGGUUAAAAGGAAGCAUCAGUAAGGUUAACGUCUCACUUUAAUACUAAAGCUUCCUGCAUAAUGGGCAAGAGGUAGAUGGCUAUGGGGUGAAAAGGCAAAAAUGCCUGAAAAAUGUUCUUUAUCUAUUAGUUCAGGUGCUAUUUAUGGCAGAUAAGGCAAGAAUCCAUACACUUUGGUCACUUAGUUUUUGCUUAGCUAACAUACCAAGAGCAUACCUGUUCCUAACUUUUUAACAGUAGCCACAUAAGAGUGCAUAACUUUUUUUGAAGAAGAGUAAUUCUUUGCUGCUGGGAGGUUAAGGUGAUUUCUCGGGCGUCGGUUCUGGGCUACCUUAAGUUUUAUUCAACGUAAAGGCUGAACAAACACUAAUAAACUGUGGUGAUAUCAUUUUGUAACCUCUUUGCACUCUCUUAAGUAGAUUCAGCUGUAGAGAUAGAAAGAUAACAAGGUUGUGCAGAAUCAGGUUUGCUGUUUACUGAAGACUGAUUCGUCUCUGGAUUGCAACAUAAAAUGUGCAAGUUUGGUGUCUUUCUUUAUGUAAUUCUUCAACAUAGCCAUUUAAGCUCUUAUUCACCAACCUUUUCUUUUAGUAGUCUUUUUUGACAUGUUCAAGGUCCUCAUUACACAUGUAACCAUAGACUGAUUUUUGACCUAAGGAGGAUGGGUGGUCAGUUUCCUAAACUACUACUUCUGUUCAUAAAGAUUUAUUGUUAGUCAUUUUCUACAGUGAGUUCUCAUAAAAAGUAUGUAUUUACUGUACUCUUUGAACUUUCCAGCACCACCUAAUUUCCUGUUUUACAUAACCCAGCUCUGGUUUUGUUUUCAAAGUAUCUUAAUGUGCAGUAGAGGUGAACUGUAUUUGGACAUCACUUACUGGCUGGAUGUUUUGGUCUAUGCUGUGAUACAGUUCUGCUAUUUCAGAGCCUUGUCUAGGCAAAUGCCAGCUGUGUUUUCUUUUUGCAAAAC
rnacentral:lncRNA from 1 species